GAAAACACUCGGCACAGUCCUUAGAAAAAAUUUCUAAAAAUAAUGCAAGUACCUUAAGCCAAGAUGAGAUAACUA
rnacentral:tRNA from 1 species